GAAAUGCGAUAAGUAGUGUGAAUUGCAGAAUUCAGUGAAUCAUCGAAUCUUUGAACGCACAUUGCGCCCCUUGGUAUUCCAUGGGGCAUGCCUGUUCGAGCGUCAUUUGUACCCUCAAGCUCUGCUUGGUGUUGGGUGUUUGUACCGUCUCCGCGCGUGGACUCGCCCCAAAGUGAUUGGCAGCCGGCGUACUGGUCCCGGAGCGCAGCACAUGUCGCGCAAACGAGUGCCUUGGUACGGCGGCGUCCAUAAGCCCCUCUCUCACGCUCUUGACCUCGGAUCAGGUAGGGAUACCCGCUGAACUUAAGC
rnacentral:misc_RNA from 1 species